rnacentral:rRNA from 1 species
UACGUAGGGGGCAAGCGUUGUCCGGAAUCAUUGGGCGUAAAGCGCGUGUAGGCGGCUCGAUAAGUCUGCUGUGAAAGUUCAGGGCUCAACCCUGAAAUGCCGGUGGAAACUGUCGAGCUAGAGUCCGGAAGAGGCGAGUGGAAUUCCUGGUGUAGCGGUGAAAUGCGCAGAUAUCAGGAGGAACACCAAUGGCGAAGGCAGCUCGCUGGGACGGUACUGACGCUGAGACGCGAAAGCUAGGGGAGCGAAUGGG